rnacentral:rRNA from 1 species
AUUGAACGCUGGCGGCAGGCCUAACACAUGCAAGUCGAGCGAGCGGCGGACGGGUGAGUAAUGUAUGGGGACUGCCCGAUAGAGGGGGAUAACUACUGGAAACGGUAGCUAAUACCGCAUACUAUCGGAUAACCCAUAUGGGAUUAGCUAGUAGGUGAGGUAAUGGCGCACCUAGGCAACGAUCCCUAGCUGGUCUGAGAGGAUGAUCAGCCACACUGGGACUGAGAAACGGCCCAGAUCCCUACGGAGGAAGCAGUGGGGAAUAUUGGACAAUGGGCGCAAGCCUGAUGCAGCCAGGCCGGGUGUAUGAAGAAGGCCCUAGGGGUGUAAAGUACUUUCAGUCGGGAGGCGUUACCGACAGAAGAAGCACCGGCUAACUCCGUGCCAGCAGCCGCGUAAUUC